rnacentral:piRNA from 1 species
GUGGUGAAGUGUAAUUUUAAUAUUUCUU